rnacentral:rRNA from 1 species
GUACUAGUAAUAAACUAGCUCGUGUUCCAGCAGUCGAGACUGAGAGGUCGAUCGACCACAUUGGGUAUGAAAAAAGCCCAAGGCGAACAGCACAGCAGUGAGGAAUAUUGGUCAAUGGUCUAACGACUGAACCAGCAAUUUGGAAGAACGUAUAAUAAAUAAAUUAUUUAAAGUUCUAGAUAAAAUAUUUAUAAUGACUAUUUUUUAUCUAUAAGUCUUGGCCAAAUUACGUGCCAGCAGUCGCGGUAAUACGUAAAAGACGAGUGUUAUUCAUCUUUAAUCGGUUUAAAGGGUACCUAGACGGAAAAUCAAGCUUAAUUAAACUAAGGACUAGUUUUCUAGAGUUUGACAUGAGAAGGUACGAACUAUCAGAGGAGAGAUAAAAUUUGUUGAUACUGGUGGGACGGACAACGGCGAAGGCAAUCUUCUACUAAAAACUGACGUUGAGGGACGAAGCCUUGGGGAGCGAGAAGGAUUAGAUACCCUAGUAGUCCUUGGAGAAAAUUAUGAGUGCCAUAGACUAAAGUGAAAAAGAAGUUCUUUUAAAAGAACUUUGUAUCUGAGCCUUAAUUGGAUACAAAGGUCUCGAGUAGCAGUUUAUAAAUGAAAGUGUAAGCAUUCCACCUCAUGACUAAAGCGGCAACGCCCAAAUUGAAAUCAUUAGACCGUUUCUGAAACCAGUAGUGAAGUAUGUUAUUUAAUUCGAUAACCCGCGAAUAACCUUACCACGUUUUGAAUUUAUUAAACAAGUGUUGCACGGCUGUCUUCAG